GAUAAACUCGUCGAUCCCUCACCUCUCCUCGCAGUAGCGACCCCCAUUUCCACAUCUAACCUCACACUUCCGACCUCACAAUAUGAUAUCUCAGACAAACAUCUCUCUCACCUCACUGUGGCGACCUCCAUUUCCACAUCUCACCUCACAACAUAAUAUCUCAAAUUAGGGUUUUGAUGUUCUCAAUUUAGAGAUUUAGGGCACUUCUCAACAUCACUUCUCGAUUGAGAUUUUGAUUCUCAGUUCAACUUCUCUGUUCUUCACUUCUUAAUCAGGGCAUCUCAACAUAUAGGGCAUCUCAUAGGUUGAUGACUACCUCAACUUCUCCUCCUACCCAAAGCGUAGGUCCCACCGAAGGUCUGCAAGCGAUUCGAGCGCAUUUCUUGAGCAGGUGAGUGUGGACCACGAAGAAGAAUGCAAAAUAAGACCCUUGGCACCAGGCUCCAGGUCUGUGAGGAUAUACUGGAGUUCCUUUACUUCAUAGAAUGAAGAUGAAAUCAAUCAUUAACAAAGAAGGGCCAAAUAGGCAUGCCUUGAAGAGAGGAACUCCUAUAAUGGGUGGACUGUUAUUUGUACCAAUUGGCGUGAUCGUUGCAGAAGUCAUAGUUGGUUUCUCUUCUAUUGAAGUAUCUGCUGUGGCUGUCGCAACUCUGUCAUUUGCGGCAAUUGGGCUACUUGAUGACUCGUUAAGUCUUAUCAACAAGCAUAAUGGUGGUUUAUCUUCCUGGACAAGAAUUGUCUUGGAGGUAAGUGCUAUUUCUUGUUUGUAAUUAAGUUUUGUUAUUCCCAGAAGUAUUAUUACAAAGCAUUAAAAGUUCUUAACAUAUGCAAUCCGACUGAUUCAUAACCAUCAUAACAUUACUACAUUGGUAAAAUUUUGGACAUUGCCGAGUUCUAUAGUGGAUCUGUUUGAUAGGAUUUUUGUAGAGGGGAAACAAACUAACCUAUCUAGGGAGAGUUGCUGGACUGGCUUGAUGAGAGCCUGACACUUGGCUCUUCUUCCAGCAAUAAAAGAAAAACUGAGAAAGAAAUGUGAAUGUCUGAUACUUGCAAGGAUUUGGAUAUAAAAAGGAAAAGUUGUUAGCGAUUAUGUAUUGGAUCUCAUAUUAUAAUUUCAAGGUAUUGCCUUCUAAAUUACAUUAUAUUUAUGGUAUGCAUGAUAUCCUGUUACUGUUUUGCAUUAUUCUCAAUUAAGUGUUCAAUUUAGUGACAGGUUGUCUAGACAUACCUGUCAAGGCUUAAGUGAAGAACUUGAGAGUUAUGAAGUCUGACCAUGUCCAGACCUGCAUUAGGGUGCUAGUAUUGAAAAAGCUCCAAUGGAUCGCGACUUCUCAGGAAAUCAUGAUGAUGAAGACGUAGAUGAAGAAGCAGAUCAAUUUCCCUUGUAAUUGAUGCAAGGUUUCUAACUGCUGUAGUAAUUGAUUUUGCAGCGUAAAACUUAUCCUAUCAGUUAUGAAUGGUACCAGUUGUGAAUGGUGUAUGAUGAAGUUUGUUUACAGUGUCUUUCGAAUUUGAGUUUACAUUAAAUUGCAAAGUUCAGUAUAGUUAGUUUGGGUUGUUGUGAUUGGAUUGGGUUAUUUUGAUUUGGUUACAGGUGGGAUAGUAGUAUAUAAGCUAGGUCAUGGCGUUUUUUUUUGGUAAUAUUAUUGAUAAAUUUGGCUGUUUUCGGUCAAAUUUAUAAAUUUGACCACCCAACUUCAGUCAAAUUUAUAAAUUUGACUACAACUUUCUAGUCAAAAAUAUAAAAUUGACCAACUGAAAUAAGUGGUCAAAUUUAUAAAUAUGACCGGAUAUAAGUGGUCGAAAAAAUAAAUUUGACCGAGUUGGUCAAAUUAAUUUAAAAAUAGGCGGGAAAUUUGAAUUUUCGUGAAAAUUCGAAGUUCGAAAACACUAGUCAAAAUUGACCGCAAACGGUCGAAAUUGGCGGUCAAUUUUAAACGGUCAAAACUAAUCGGUCAAUUUUAUCCGGUCAAAAUUAACUAUUUUUGACCGAAAAUGACUAAAAUCCACUAAGCUAUGA